UUAUUCCUCUCUCUAAAACAAAGCAAAGGGUCAAGAAGAAGAAGAAGAAACAGAAAUACGAAUGGUGGUCAGCUAGCCGGCAAUGGAUCCUGGGUCUCGUUACCUUCACCGCACCAGGCACGUCCCUCGCCAUCCUCCUCCUACUCAACGUGAGCCUCAAUCACAUCCCCAUCCUCAUCAUUCUUUCCCCAAUAACCUCAAUAUCUGUGCACCUCACCACUCUACCCUCCUUACUGCGCCACCACCUCUCCAACCACAACCACGUCCUCUUCCACCGCAAUCUCACCACUCCCUCCCUAUCCCUCCGCAAUUCAAUCUCCCAAAUUCCCAAUUCUCCUACAAUUCUGAUAAUAUUAAUCCUAAUCACUCCAGGCCACACCCUGAUGCUCAUAAUUCCAUACAAUCGCCUCGCCUUACGCACCGGAAGCCCUUCGACGAUGACCUUCCACGUCGAUUGACUGAUUAUAUCCAAGAAAGCCGACCCGAUUUGAGGACCCCACCUAGGGUUUUGCCUGAUAGAUUUCCUGCAAGGUUGUACCCUCCUGCCAACGUGGAUCCAGAUUCAUAUCGCCGCCUGCUAGAUAACCAGCCCCUGUCUCCGAUGAAGGUUAGGAGAGAAUUAGAAGGUAGUUCUAGGUUUGUAGAGGAACGCAAACAAAGGGAAGAACUUUUACUGUGUCGUGUUGAUGAUGAUUAUCAUCAUCGCAGUCAAUUUGCAUCCACUUCAGAUAAAUGUUCAAGGGAUUUCCGGAUGGUAUCAAAUCAAACAAAUCACAGUUCGCCCUGUGAGAAUCUCCGUGGUUUUCCGUAUGAUGAUGGAAUGAAUGAGAAUCAGAGAUCGGUACAUGAUAGAGAGGUUAACAGAGAUACGCAUUAUUCCUUUAUAGAAAGGGGGAUUACUGAGAUUGAUGACCCUGCUGAAAUUCGAGUUGCCACUCGGAAACGUGAGCAUUAUAGGAGUAGAGAAGUGAAUGCGGAAUUGGAAAGACAUAGUAGUAGGGGGAGUUAUGACUUUAGUCGCAAUCCAAGGAGGCCACCACAGAAAAAGAGUGUGCUUCUUAGGAUUCAAAAGCCUAAU
rnacentral:misc_RNA from 1 species